AUGGCCUGGACCCCUCUCUUCCUCCACCUCCUCGCUCACUGCACAGGCUCCGUGGUCUCCCAUGUGCUGAAUCAACGCGCUUGCAUUUCAGUGGCUCUGGGACAAUCAGGAUCACCCGUGGGGGAAACAGCAUUGGAAGUAAACAUGCUUAUUGGUACCAGCAGAAGCCGGGCCAGGCCCCCGUGCUGAUCAUCUUCUACAGCAACAGAUGGCCCUCAGGGAUCCCCAACCGAUACUCGGACUCCAGCUCGGGGAACACGGCCACCCUGACCAUCAGCGGGGCCCGGGCCGAGGGCGAGGCUGACUAUUACUGUCUGGCGGGGGCCAGCAGUGCUGAUGCUCACGAUUUCCUGCACAUGCGCUUCUCCAUCUCAGAGUCUGCUGCCAGGAACCCAGUGCAGGAAGGCCGGCAUCCCCAACAGGGUUUUCGGGGACUUGAGGAGGCCACUGUGUACCCACAAAGCUGGGGUUUCUCCCCCAGAUCACCAAUGUGCUUGUCUAAUUCCUAG